AUGGGAUCCAGCGGCGGCGGGAGGUGCGGUGGGGGUGGGGGUGGGGGUGGGGGUGGGGGUGGGGUGGGGGUGGGGGUGCGGCCCGCGGAGGGCUACGGACCGACCCAGGGGGACUCGGAAGAGGAGGACGCGCGGACACAGAGGGGGUGGGGACGGAUGCACCGACCGGGGCCCCGGGGACCCGAGACGGACGGGCGAACGCGCGGAGGGUCGAGGGACCGGCCGACGAGGGGGCCUCGGCUGCUGCCGCUGGGCGCAGGGACAGACCGACGGACGGCGGACGGCGGCACCGGCGGGCUCGGGGCGCCACGGGACUGGCGCUGGCCACCGCUCAGUUUCUCAGUUUCAGAAACGGGAACCGGAUCGGGGGCGGGGGGCAGGGGGGGCGCCCCAGGGGUAGCCCGAUCCCACCUCGGGGCCGGGCCCUCACUCACCUCCCGCGCACCGCCAGGCGCCAGGGGUCGCGGCGGCUGGGGUCCAGUCCCGGCGCCGUUCCCGGGAGCGCAAGGACGGUGGUCGGGGCGGGCCCGACCGGGACGGGCCCGUAGGCCGGUGAGUCCCGUCCGGGCCUCCGCGCGGCGGGCGGAUGCCGGGGGUCGCUCCGGGGAUCCCGGGGCCGCCGCCUCCCUCGCUCGCGCCGCUGCACACGGAAGUGCGAGGGGGCGGGGCGGCGCGACCUCACCCAGGUGCCGGCCCCGGCCCCGGCCCCGCCCCCGCCCCGGCCCCGCCCCGGCCCGGCCCCGCCCCCGCCGCGAGGAGGGGUCCCGGCCCCGCCUCCCGGGCGCGCGCUCUCGGCCCUCCCCGGCACGCUGCGGCUCCCGCCCACCCUCGCAGCGCGCCCCGGCCGCAGGAGGCGCCCGGCUCCGCGGAGCAGGACGCAGAGGCCCGCGGGAGGGGGCUCCCUCCCCACCCCUAGCACACCGAGGCCCGGGGGCGCCGGCGGGGCUUCCCCAGCUCGCAGCGCCCACGCCCGGGACUCCCCGCCGGCCCGCUGGCCCGCCGCGCCGGGCCUCGCUCUGUCUUCCUGUUGGCUGGAGUGCGGACGCGGCCGGGCCGGGUGCCCACCGCCGGGCGGGCUGGGCCGGGCCCUGCCCCUGA
rnacentral:lncRNA from 1 species